rnacentral:ribozyme from 1 species
AAGGGGCCUAGCCCCUUCCCCUUUAAUGCAGGUCGCUUGAUAGCGCAACGGUCCACACCCCGUAUGAAUGCAGAUGGAAGG